rnacentral:rRNA from 1 species
AUUGAACGCUGGCGGCAGGCCUAACACAUGCAAGUCGAACGAGUGGCGGACGGGUGAGUAAUGUCUGGGCAACUGCCUGAUGGAGGGGGAGAACCACUGGAAACGGUAGCUAAUACCGCAUACAAUCAGAUGUGCCCAAAUGGGUUUAGCUUGUUGGGGGGGUAAAGGCUCACCAAGGCGACGAUCCCUAGCGGGUCUGAGAGGAUGACCAGCCACACUGGAACUGAGACACGGUCCAGACUCCUACGGGAGGAAGCAGUGGGGAAUAUUGCACAAUGGGCGCAAGCCUGAUGCAGCCAUGCCGCGUGUAUGAAGAAGGCCUUCGGGUUGUAAAGUACUUUCAGCGGGGAGGCGUGACCCGCAGAAGAAGCACCGGCUAACUCAGUGCCAGCAGCCGCGGUAAUUC